rnacentral:misc_RNA from 1 species
GAAAUGCGAUAAGUAAUGUGAAUUGCAGAAUUCAGUGAAUCAUCGAAUCUUUGAACGCACCUUGCGCUCCUUGGUAUUCCUUGGAGCAUGCCUGUUUGAGUAUCAUGAAAUCUUCAAAGUAAAUCUUUUGUUAACUCAAUUGGUUUCUACUUUGGUAUUGGAGGUCUUUGCAGCUUCACACCUGCUCCUCUUUGUUCAUUAGCUGGAUCUCAGUGUUAUGCUUGGUUCCACUCGGCGUGAUAAGUUAUCUAUCGCUGAGGACACUGUAAAAGGUGGCCAAGGUAAAUGCAGAUGAACCGUUCUAAUAGUCCAUUGACUUGGACAAUACUUUUAUGAUCUGAUCUCAAAUCAGGUAGGACUACCCGCUGAACUUAAGC